CGGGACGGGUGAGUAAUGCGUUGGGAAUCUAGCUUAUGGAGGGGGAUAACUACGGGAAACUGUAGCUAAUACCGCGUAAUAUCGAAAGAUUAAAGUGUGGGACCUUCGGGCCACAUGCCAUAAGAUGAGCCCAAGUGGGAUUAGGUAGUUGGUGAGGUAAAGGCUCACCAAGCCGACGAUCUCUAGCUGGUCUGAGAGGAUGACCAGCCACACUGGGACUGAGACACGGCCCAG
rnacentral:rRNA from 1 species